UUUCUGUUGCUCAGGCUUUCCAACCACUGGAAAUGGGGGAGGUGGGGUGGGGGUACCACUGGUUUUUAAAAUCACUGCUUAGGUUGUUUUUUUAUUUUGAUGGAAAUAAAUUCACGGGAAACUCUCCAGAGCUUGGGGGACGCCUGCCCCAAGGCCAGGCACUUGUUCAGGGUUUGCAGAAUGCGGGGGUGGGGUUGUGUCUGUGCCACUCCUAGCUGGGCCAAGGCAGGCUGGCUUUCUC
rnacentral:lncRNA from 1 species